rnacentral:rRNA from 1 species
UACGAAGGGGGCUAGCGUUGUUCGGAAUUACUGGGCGUAAAGGGCGCGUAGGUGGCCUUCUAAGUUGAACGUGAAAUCCCCGGGCUCAACCCGGGAACUGCGUCCGAUACUGGGAGGCUUGAAUCCGGGAGAGGGAUGCGGAAUUCCAGGUGUAGCGGUGAAAUGCGUAGAUAUCUGGAGGAACACCGGUGGCGAAGGCGGCAUCCUGGACCGGCAUUGACGCUGAGGCGCGAAAGCCAGGGGAGCAAACGGG